rnacentral:rRNA from 1 species
AUCCUGGUGGCGAGUGGCGAACGGGUGAGUAAUAUAUCGGAACGUGCCCAGUCGUGGGGGAUAACGUAGCGAAAGCUACGCUAAUACCGCAUACGAUCUAUGGAUGAAAGCGGGGGAUCGCAAGACCUCGCGCGAUUGGAGCGGCCGAUAUCAGAUUAGCUAGUUGGUGGGGUAAAAGCCCACCAAGGCGACGAUCUGUAGCUGGUCUGAGAGGACGACCAGCCACACUGGAACUGAGACACGGUCCAGACUCCUACGGGAGGCAGCAGUGGGGAAUUUUGGACAAUGGGCGCAAGCCUGAUCCAGCAAUGCCGCGUGCAGGAUGAAGGCCUUCGGGUUGUAAACUGCUUUUGUACGGAGCGAAACGGUUCGCUUUAAUACAGUGGGCUAAUGACGGUACCGUAAGAAUAAGCACCGGCUAACUACGUGCCAGCAGCCGCGGUAAUACGUAGGGUGCGAGCGUUAAUCGGAAUUACUGGGCGUAAAGCGUGCGCAGGCGGUUUUGUAAGACAGAUGUGAAAUCCCCGGGCUCAACCUGGGACCUGCAUUUGUGACUGCAAGGCUAGAGUACGGUAGAGGGGGAUGGAAUUCCGCGUGUAGCAGUGAAAUGCGUAGAUAUGCGGAGGAACACCGAUG